AAUCAACGCUGGCGGCGUGCCUCAGACAUGCAAGUCGAACGAUUAAAGCUCUCUUCGGAGAGUGCAUAGAGUGGCGCACGGGUGAGUAACACGUAAGUAAUCUACCUUCGAGUGGGGAAUAACGUCCGGAAACGGACGCUAAUACCGCAUAAUGCAGCGGCAUCGUAAGAUGACAGUUGUUAAAGAUUUAUCGCUUGAAGAGGAGCUUGCGGCAGAUUAGCUAGUUGGUAAGGUAAUGGCUUACCAAGGCUACGAUCUGUAACCGGUCUUAGAGGACGGUCGGCCACACUGACACUGAAUAACGGGUCAGACUCCUACGGAGGCAGCAGUCGGGAAUUUUGGGCAAUGGGCGAAAGCCUGACCCAGCAACGCCGCGUGAAGGAUGAAGUAUUUCGGUAUGUAAACUUCGAAAGAAUAGGAAGAAUAAAUGACGGUACUAUUUAUAAGGUCGGCUAACUACGUGCCAGCAGCCGCGGUAAU
rnacentral:rRNA from 1 species